rnacentral:lncRNA from 10 species
UCUCGGGUGAGAUCACCACGGAGCGGCUUAGCGCGGCGCACAAGUCUCGCGAGAGAAGCGGCGGCUGGGCCCUGCAGGCGGAGGAAGUGGAAAAAGUCGCGGGAGGGUAGGGGACCGCGGAACUUCUGGUUGCUAUGACGACGGCAAAGCCCUGGAUUCCUGUCUCCUGCGGAGAGCAGAGGCUGCAAACAAAUGAAAAGAGGCUUGCUCAUGACUUGGAAGCGGUGGGCUGAGGCCUCCCAAGACCAUCUGGCUUGUUCCAUUGCCAGCCAGAGUGGAGGCGACAUUCACACGAACCCAGGAGCUGCAGGGGCGCGUGAGCUACAGCUGCCUUGUGGCAUCCAAGGAGUGCGCAGUGAGAUUCCGCAGGAGAAAUCACGCUUUGCAUGUUCUUGAGUACAAGAAACAUGUGUAAUGAGGGUUUUUGUUUGCGGGCAUGCCAAGGAGAACGACUGGAAUAUUAAAGUCAUCACAGCCUUUAUUUAAGGGAGAAGAGGACAAGCAUGAAUAUGCUGAUAGUUCAGAGAUAUUUAGGACCUUCAGCAGCUCAGCACUCAUCCUAGAUUUAUACAAAUACCUUUCCAGAGAUGAAGUUUUUAAAAGCCUUUUAAAGGAAUUUUAUUUGUUCUUUUCACGUGGGGAAAAGUGAUGAGUAUAUCUAUGCAAGUAUGAGAAAUGGCCAAGGCCACUCCAUGUAAUUUUUUACUUAUCCUAUAGCUACACAAAGAAAAUAGCACCAAGUGUUGUAGAGGAAAAUCUACUAGACUUCAAGCCCGGCUUGAAUUCAAUUCUGUGCUCUAAUUCAGACUCUAUCUUUACUUAGCUGAGUCAUAUAAAUUAUUUAAUUUUCUAGACUUCUCACUUCUCUUUCUUUCUUUUUUUUUUAGACUAGUCUCACUCUGUUGCCCAGGCUGGAGUGCAGUGGCGCGAUCUCAGCUUACUUCAGCCUCCGCCUCCCGGUUUCAAGUGAAUUCUCCAGCCUCAACUUCACAAGUAGCUGGGAUUACAGGGCAUUCAAGCAGCCCUGAGGAGAGGUCCACAUGGUGAGCCACUGAGGGCCUUGCCAAGAGCCAGCACCAACGGUCCAGGUUUGGAGUGUACCACCUUGGAAGUGAAUCUUCCAGUCCAGUCAAGCCUUCAGAUGACUUCAGAACCGUCCAUGUAAGCCACUCUUGGAUUCCUGACCCACAGAAACUGUUGGAGACAGACAAACAUGUGCCUCCUGAUUGAAAAAACAGAACAUCACCUGUAGUCUUGCCAGUGAGAUCAAACUGAAGUCCAAUUAACCUCUGGAUCCAGCUGCCAAUUUGCAGGAAAUAGAGGAGAGAAGCAUCUGUUGAACUGCACCAUGAGUAUACACUCAGCAAAGGCCAAACUGUGGAAAAUGAUACAGGUCAAACAGCCUGGAUUCUUUAACAGUAAGUGAUGUUUCUGAAGCACCAAUGAAAAUGAAGUCCUGAAGUCCUGUGCUCAAUAUGAAAUGUUGGAAGUUAGAAGAAAAAAACAAAACUUGGAUCCAAUCUCAAGGCACUUUUUGUUUAAUGGGAAGAAGUGGAUUAUUUUAAAAGCUACAAAUAAAGUUACAUAAAAGUAGCAAA